AUUGAACGCUGGCGGCAGGCCUAACACAUGCAAGUCGAGCGGAUGAAGGAAGCUUGCUCCUGGAUUCAGCGGCGGACGGGUGAGUAAUGCCUAGGAAUCUGCCUGGUAGUGGGGGAUAACGUCCGGAAACGGGCGCUAAUACCGCAUCCGUCCUGAGGGAGAGAGUGGGGAUCUUCGAACCUCACGCUAUCAGAUGAGCCUAGGUCGGAUUAGCUAGUUGGUGGGGUAAAGGCCUACCAAGGCGACGAUCCGUAACUGGUCUGAGAGGAUGAUCAGUCACACUGGAACUGAGACACGGUCCAGACUCCUACGGGAGGCAGCAGUGGGGAAUAUUGGACAAUGGGCGAAAGCCUGACGCAGCAAUGCCGCGUGUGUGAAGAAGGUCUUCGGAUUGUAAAGCACUUUAAGUUGGGAGGAAGGGCAGUAAGUUAAUACCUUGCUGUUUUGACGUUACCAACAGAGUAAGCAACGGCUAACUACGUG
rnacentral:rRNA from 1 species